rnacentral:snoRNA from 1 species
GGAUCGAUGAUGACAACAAUAAUUGAUCUCGUUGGAAAAUCUGAACAAAAUGAGUGGCAAAAUCACUUCUGUGAAACUGAGGUCC